ACGCUCGACACCUACGAGAGGCAGCAGUGAGGAAUAUUGGUCAAUGGACGCAAGUCUGAACCAGCCAUGCCGCGUGCAGGAUGACGGCUCUAUGAGUUGUAAACUGCUUUUGUACGAGGGUAAACGCAGAUACGUGUAUCUGUCUGAAAGUAUCGUACGAAUAAGGAUCGGCUAACUCCGUGCCAGCAGCCGCGGUAAUCUGAGCGGCUGGCAAGGC
rnacentral:rRNA from 1 species